AUAAUGCAAACCUAUCAAAAAUAAGUAACACAUAUUUACUAUAUAUUUUAAAAUUAACGAUACGAAAUGCAUUAAACUGUCUAUUUAAAGCAUUUCGUUUGCAUAUUUCGAGUAAAAUAAUGCAAAGUUGAUUUGUGUUUAGCGCAUAAUUUUAAAUGUUUCAAGAAAUGCACACGCCUAUUACCUAGUACUAUUAUAAUUAUACGCAAUGUCCGUUGCAUAUUAUUUUAUUACAAGGUUAUACAACUAACUUUUCAACUACAAUUCGGAUAAUUCAAUUGCUUAAAUUCAAAUACUAUACGAUAUUUAUUCCUAUUAUUUCUCGCGCGUAUAAUAAUGUCUUAAAUUAUUACGAUCAGUGGCGAAUAAAUAAUUUUCAAAUUUAGCGAUAAAGCCAAUAAAUUACUGUAUACCGUAUAUAGGUAAUGUGAGUGGUUCAAAUAAAUACGUACUCAAAAUUAUUUAAAAAACAUGUAUAUAUUUUGCAACGAUAAAAACAAACGGUCGUAAUAUUUAAAUUUAAUUAUUUUGAAUAGUUCGAAAUUAGUCGAAUACUAUAUUUUAUUACUGUUAUUAUUAUAGGAGAUUGGUACCUAAAAUAUGUAAUCAAAUUUGUUGUACCCAAAUAAAAAUCGUGACGGAUUCAAUAAGCUUGGGAGAAGCGUUUAACAACCGUAAACACCUGUCCAGCACAAAAAACACCGGCUUAAUAAAAAUUCAUUUUUAACUUUAAAAAUAAUGAAUGAGGCCUGGGAUAGUUUUAUGCUCAGUAUACAUACCAAAUAAAAAUUACGUAAAAAAUAUAAAUGUCUAUAAAUAGCUCAAAAAUGAUUGAAUUAUCUAAAUUUCAGAUUUCCACGAAUAUUUUUAACUAAAUCGCAACAAAAAAACCAAGAUUCAAAAUAAUAAAUUUCGUACAUUUUCCGAUUUUUCUAUGUAUUUUUCCAGGUUUUCCUAAUUAUCAUGAAAACCACUCGGAAAAUUACGGAAAAAGAACGGCUUUAACAACAAAAACGGUCUCGUGUCAUUUUUCUAUUGGAGCAAUAUUUCUGGUUGAAAACAUAGUUUUUGCAAAAAUUAUUAACAAUGAAAUCGGUAACGCCACGGCUCGGCGCGCCUUAAUUCUUUUGACCGUUUUACCGAAAUUUUUCUUUCCAGUUUUUCUCAAUCCUUUUGAAAACCCCUUGGAAGCUGACCACAAACUGACCUCCUCACUAAUGCACCAACGUGAUAAAAUUUCCAAGAUAAAAUCUCGCUACGCUUCGAAUCCAAAAGACAAAAAAAACCCAUUACAACAAAACCGAAUACAUGUUUUCCUCGCUUUGCUCAGAAUUUAAGAUUUCGGUGAACACGUUUUCGCUUGUCGUCGUUAAAAAACACAACGCGUAAACACUGAAAAAUGUAAUAAACUAAAUAAAACAAGACGUAUUAUAUUAUAUCGUAGUAUAAUAUGGCUGAUGCAAUAAUCGAAUGUGUCCAAUUAAUAAUUUCGUAGAUACAUGUAUGAAUAAAUAUUUAAGUUCCAGUAACGCGUUACCACACACGGUACGAUAUUGCACAAUUUUUUUUUUUUUUUUUUUUUUUUAAAUCUCGUUUCUAAAUAAUGUAUAUACUGUACGUGCGUUUGCAGUCGGCUAUUUAAACUAAACUUUCAUAUCCUUGAUACCUAUAUAUGUACAUAUACGUAAAUAUACAACAUAAUUAUUGUGUGCGCGCCAUGCGAUUUGUAUAUUUGAUUCGUACAUUAGCUGGUGCAUUAAAACCGCCACCCGUUUAAAAGAGUGUUUAAUCGUUGUUAUUGCAUUAUGAUAGGCGAGGUUAGGUUACACGUUAGGCUGCGUUAAUAAACCGUCUGCCGCGACGAAAAAGGCCGUAUCAUCUCGAUUCGGGUGGUGUUUUUUUCGUCGACACCGAUUCGUCUGCGGUUCGAACAGUUUGUUCGGUUUUAGAGUCGCCUUGGAAUUUCUUUUUUUUUUUUUUUAAUUUGGAUACCUAAACUACGUACGUUAGCCAAUAAUCAGUUCUUCUAGUCCGAGGUCGCGAAAUACCUUUAUUAUAGAACCCUAUAAUGUAAAUCCCGCCUUCCCAACAACAGUGACAGACACUAACAGUCAGUGAUGUAUUUAAGGGCGUUGUCCCGGGGGGCUGACCUCUCAAUUUUUUUUUCUAGUUCUAUCCAUUACUGAAGUAUCGCAAAAUAUUGUUGACGAAUGACGAAAUGUUUCAAAACUAAUUUGAAAAUGCCCAUCAUGGAUUAAUAAUAAUAAUAGGAGACCACCAAAACGAUAAUAAUAUUAGGUUUAUGUGUAUUACAUGAAUAAAUUGUGAAUAUACGAAUACACAAAAUUAAUUAAACUGAUAUGGGAAAUUACUACGUAAAUUUAAGUGUUAAAUUAGUGUUAAUUUAUUCAGUCAAAUCGUUUAUAUUUUAUUCCUGUCAUAAUUUUAUUGUAAUCAAAAAUUUGAGUAGCAAUCCUAAGAUUUUUACAAUAAAAAAACCACUUAUAAGGUUUUAAGAUGUUUUAUAAUCAGGUACGAAUUCGUGAUGAAGCUAUGUAAUAUUUGUGGAGCAAUAGUAUUUCCAAGAGUCAGGACACCCCUCGCUCCCCCC
rnacentral:lncRNA from 1 species